rnacentral:rRNA from 1 species
UGCACCGCGCCCCAGAAUUAUACGGGAGGGAACUAGUGGGAAUUUCGCCCCAACUGCCAAAUGCUUGCUGCAGGGUCGCCGUUGAGGGAUGACGCCUUCAGGUUGAAACCUUUUCAGCAGGAAGAAGGAAGUACUGUACUGCAGAGAAGCGCGUCUAACUACGUGCAGCAGCGCGUAUACGUAGGCGCAGCGUGUCAGGAGUUAUGGGCGUAAGAGCUCGUAGGCGGCUGUCGCGUCGGUUAUGAAAGCCCGGGGCUUAACCCCGGGUCUGCAGUCGAUACGGGCAGGCUAGAGCUCCGGUAGAGGAGAUCGGAAUUCCUGCUGUAGCGCUGAAAUGCGCAGAUAUCAGGAGGAACACCGGUGGCGAAGGCGGAUCUCUGGGCAGAUACUGACGCUGAGGAGCGACAGCGUGGGGAGCGAACAGGAUCAGAUACCCUGGUCGUCCACGCUGUAAACGGUGGGCAUUAGGUGUGGGCGACAUUCCACGUCGUCCGUGCCGCAGCUAACGCAUUAAGUGCCCCGCCUGGGCAGUACGGCCGCACGGCUAAAACUCAAAGGAAUUGACGGGGGCCCGCACAAGCGGCGGAGCAUGUGGGUUAAUUCGACGCAACGCGAAGAACCUUACCAAGGCUUGACAUACACCGGAAACGUCCAGAGAUGGGCGCCCCCUUGUGGUCGGUGUACAGGUGGUGCAUGGCGUCGUCAGCUCGUGUCGUGAGAUGUUGGGUUAAGUCCCGCAACGAGCGCAACCCUUGUCCCGUGUUGCCAGCAGGCCCUUGUGGUGCUGGGGACUCACGGGAGACCGCCGGGGUCAACUCGGAGGAAGGUGGGGACGACGUCAAGUCAUCAUGCCCCUUAUGUCUUGGGUUGCACACGUGUUACAAUGGCCGGUACAAUGAGCUGCGAUACCGCGAGGUGGAGCGAAUUUCAAAAAGCCGGUCUCAGUUCGGAUUGGGGUCUGCAACUCGACCCCAUGAAGUUGGAGUCGCUAGUAAUCGCAGAUCAGCAUUGGUGCGGUGAAUACGUUCCCGGGCCUUGUACACACCGCCCGUCACGUCACGAAAGUCGGUAACACCCGAAGCCGGUGGCCCAACCCCCUUGUGGGGAGGGAGCUGUCGAAGGUGGGACUGGCGAUGGACGAAGACGUAAUCGAGAUGGACCGGUG